ACGAACGCUGGCGGCGUGCUUAACACAUGCAAGUCGAACGAUGAACCGGGUGCUUGCACCUGGGGAUUAGUGGCGAACGGGUGAGUAACACGUGAGUAACCUGCCCUGGACUCUGGGAUAACCCCGAGAAAUCGGAGCUAAUACCGGAUAGGACCUGGAACCGCAUGGUUUUGGGUGGAAAGUUUUUUCGGUCUGGGAUGGACUCGCGGCCUAUCAGCUUGUUGGUGAGGUAAUGGCUCACCAAGGCGUCGACGGGUAGCCGGCCUGAGAGGGUGACCGGCCACACUGGGACUGAGACACGGCCCAGACUCCUACGGGAGGCAGCAGUGGGGAAUAUUGCACAAUGGGCGAAAGCCUGAUGCAGCAACGCCGCGUGAGGGAUGACGGCCUUCGGGUUGUAAACCUCUUUUAGUAGGGAAGAAGGGCUUCGGCUUGACGGUACCUGCAGAAAAAGCACCGGCUAACUACGU
rnacentral:rRNA from 1 species